CUCCUAGUCUCCUGCAAAUCAAAAUCCAAAUUAUUGAACAACCCAAACUGCCAGACGAUGUUACAAGGACAAAAGGCGAUCUUCUCACUUCUUCAAGGGCGGUCCAACUGCCCCUACCUACAUUAAUCAGAUUUGUGUUGUCGGGUUUGUGGUUUUGACAUUCUGUUCAUAGGAAUUAUGGGGUUUUCCUUUUUGGUGAUUUAAUUGAUUCUUAGUUGUGGUUUCUGAAUUAAUGCUUAGUAAUGGUGAUUAUAUGAACAUUAUACUAAAUAAAACUUUGGAAUAAAUAAUUGGCCUUUGUUUCUCAAAAUUUUGUGGAGGAAUAAAUAAUAAAUCAUUAGACUUUGAAUUUAGAUGCGUUUCUUGUUCUCUUGCCUAGUCAGAAUUCCCAAUCCCAUAUGUGUUAUUCAGGACUACAUAAUAGGAAUCUCAAACUAAUUUCAAAGACAAUUCCUCUGCAAAAUUAUACAGGAACCAGGAAUGAUAUAUCUGCCUGUUGAUGUUUCCACAGCCUUGCUACACUUUUCAACUAUUGGAGAAAUCACCA
rnacentral:lncRNA from 1 species